GAAGUUUCCCUUAGGCUAACUAGAGCUCGAGUUCGAGUUCUAUUGGGUAAAGCUAAUGAUUAGAGGCAUCGGGGGCACAACGCCCUUGACCUAUUUUCAAACUUUAAAUAGGUAGAAUGGUGCGACUGCUUUGUUGAGCUGCGCUACAGAAUUGAGAGCGCCAAGUAGGCCAUUUUUGGUAAGCAGAAUUGGCGAUGUGAGAUGAAUCAGAAAUCGGGUUAUGGUGCCCAAUUGCACGCUAACCUAGAUCCCACAAAGGGUGUCAGUCGAUUAAGACAGCAAGACGAUGGUCAUGAAAGUUAAAAUUCGCUAAGGAGUGUGUAAUGUUUUUGUCCUUUGAAUUCCUCUUUUGAUUUUCCAAUUAUAAUCUCUUGCCUCUUAAUGUGUGAAUCAGUCCUCCAAUUCCCUCCUCUAGGGUCAUAUUUAUGUCUUUUUCAAGUC
rnacentral:rRNA from 1 species